CACCUACGGGGGGCAGCAGUGAGGAAUAUUGGUCAAUGGGCGCGAGCCUGAACCAGCCAAGUAGCGUGAAGGAUGACUGCCCUACGGGUUGUAAACUUCUUUUAUAAAGGAAUAAAGUGAGGCACGUGUGCCUUUUUGUAUGUACUUUAUGAAUAAGGAUCGGCUAACUCCGUGCCAGCAGCCGCGGUAAUACGGAGGAUCCGAGCGUUAUCCGGAUUUAUUGGGUUUAAAGGGUGCGUAGGCGGGCUGUUAAGUCAGCGGUCAAAUGUCGGGGCUCAACCCCGGCCUGCCGUUGAAACUGGCGG
rnacentral:rRNA from 1 species